rnacentral:lncRNA from 1 species
AGUCCCAAGGCGCAGCGUGCGUCAGCAAGACAGCAGAAGCAGGAGGAGAGCUGGCGGGAAGACAUGCACCCCUUGAAGACCCAGAGAGAGGCCGUCUGUCUACCGCGUAGCAGUUACAUCAGACUGAGACACUUCCUGUUUACAGGAGACUAUAAAAUUCCUGCCCCGUGCUCAUUUGGGGCUGACGCCAUUUUAGGCCUCAGCCCAUCUGCACCCAGGCGCUCACUGAAACAGUGUGUUGCUCCACACCGCCUUGUUUUGCUUGUUGGCGCGCUCUCAGGGUUCCGACCAAUCCAAGAGCCUUGCAGAAAGCAUUAACGUGCUUUUCUCUUUGGCAGAGUUUUUCUUUGCUCUGAUCUUGGAGACAUCCCUCUGCCUAGUGGAAACAUAAGGAAUACAGAAAGAAUGCAAGGAGAUAGACCAACGUGAGAUUCUCCUUCAUGCACUCAAGAGAAAGAUGUUGCAGGAAGAGCUAGUCUUUCAGGCUGGGCUGGUGACCUGAGAAAGAAUGUCCAGCUUUUCUUCUCCACUUGGCAUAUCAAGAGCCAGGCGUGGAAGACUAAAACAGGAAAUGUUUAUAAAAACUGUUCAGCGGUUCGCCAACAAGAAGUGGUAAAGUAGCAAAAAUGGGGAUGGAGAUGCCAGGAGGAAAGAUGCCAGGGGUAAAGUGGGAAAAUGGGAACCUGAAGCCAGGAGGUCAAGCCAAGCCAACAGGUGUUCUGUUUUUCAAUGAGGAGGUGGGGCACAGGAUGGAUGGAAACUUUCCACAGUCACAGAACUAAUAAGUGGUGCUGAGGACUCAAACCCGGGGAAGCCCACUCUAGAACCCAUGCUGGUCAUCCAUAUCCCCAAGGCCCUGGUCAGAACACAGCUAAGCAGAUGGCUUGGGUCAUCAGGACGUCCAUUACAUCCAAAGGAAGACAGCCUGUGACGUUUCAAAAGCAAAAGUCCCCUACCAGCCAGUGAAGCUACCUGAUUUCUCAGUAUCUUACGCCCAGUGACACGAUCUACCCUCAAAACUUAAAAAAAAAAGGGAAACAUAAACACAUAACAGCAGCAGCAAUAAUUAAAGAUGAGAUGAGAACAAUUAAGAAAAAAGGAAAGGUCUCCUGUGACUGUUUUAUUUUUAGGGAAACAGAGAGGAAGAAGAAUGAUUUUUCUUUUGAUGACUCUAUAUCCAACUCUGAGGUUUGAUUAAAGAAAUGACCUUGAACCACAGCAAAGAAAAAUAAAAGACAAUUUCCAACAUAGUCUCGCUCUGUUGCCCAGGCUGGAGUGGAGUGAUGUGAUCUCGGC